GCCAGCCGAGCCGUAGAACAAGAUGGCGGACUCCUUAGCAACGGCUCAGGGAGAGGAGAUCGAACCGGAGAAAGAAGGCAAGGAGAGACGGAUGGAGGGAGAUAGUGAGAACCGGGGAUCGAAGGAGACCUCCGAGGUGACGGAAACGCUGGGGUUUUACGACAAGAAGAAAGUCCAAAAGGACAAGAAACGGAGUUUGUCUGGUGAGUACUGAACCAGAACCUCAGCUUGAGGAGAGGAGAGGAGAGCCCAGGUACUGGUUCAGGUGAGUACUGAACCAGAACCUCAGCUUGAGGAGAGGAGAGGAGAGCCCAGGUACUGGUCCAGGUGAGUACUGAACCAGAACCUCAGCUUGAGGAGAGGAGAGCCCAGGUACUGGUCCAGGUGAGUACUGAACCAGAACCUCAGCUUGAGGAGAGGUAGUAGUAGUAGCAGCUAGCUAACAGUAGUAGUAGUAGUAGUAGUAGUAGCAGCUAGCUAACAGUAGUAGUAGUAGUAGUAGUAGUAGUAGCAGCUAGCUAACAGUAGUAGUAGUAGUAGUAGUAGUAGUAGCAGCUAGCUAACAGUAGUAGUAGUAGUAGUAGCAGCUAGCUAACAG
rnacentral:lncRNA from 1 species